rnacentral:sRNA from 1 species
AAUGAAGGCCUCUCUCCGGCGAGCUCCCUUCUCCCUCUAGUAAGCUUUCUUCGGCAACCAGGUUAGCCUUCUUUUUCGACGCUGAUCCCCACUGUGUCAUCGUCCUAGCCUCACCAACGAGAUCUUUAGCUUUGGCUAGCCAGCAUCAACAGGAAUCAACGUGUCGCCACACCCCUGCCCGGCACAGCCUUCCCCUCGCUUUACCCUGCCACCAACACCAGCCCUCCACCGGUUGCUGACCCCCGUGGCUCCGCGACAGUGCCACCGCAUUGCUCGCCCUUGUUUGCCACCCAACGCCGGUCCGCCGCCUCACAAGCCCUCCCUCUAAGCCCGAUCCCCACUUACCUCUCUCUAAUGCCACUUUCCCUCCACCACACUCUCGAAGUUCUAACCCUAACUAUAGCUUGUCGUCAUGUGGUCGAAAACUGCGUGCGACGUUCCUCCCUAGCGAGCACGCGUUAAUUAGGAUUGCUAUUAAAUACUCCCUCCGUUUUACAAUGUAAGUAAUUCUAGUAUUUCACACAUUUAUAUUACAUUUAUAUUGAUGCUAAUGAAUCUAGAUAUAUAUUAGAUAUAUAUUGUGAAACGGAGGUAGUACUUAAAUACAUCCACUUGUGGCGUACUACUAAUUUAUUACCACU